UUGGCUCUUAACUUUAGACGACUGCGCAUCUACGAGAAUGAUUCACUUAUCUUUUUACAUCACGAUCCGAUUCGCUUUUAUUCUUUCAUUCACCUUCAAUCGUUUUUUGGGUUUGCCGUUGCUUGCCGUUUGCGUCGUCGACUAGUUCCAAGCGAAAGAUUCUGAAAAGUUUCACAAGAGAAAGAUACAAUUCUUCAAAACGAUAUCAAGUACCGUAAUCUGGAUCGAGACGACAUAUCGAGAGGACGUAUUUUAAAAAAUAAAAUCUAUACGAAGCAGAGGUCUGAGAGAGAAAACUACCUAAAUUUCUUAGCUAAUUAUUUGAAACUUAGACGUAAUACCUGGAUCUAAAACUGCAGAGAUCUAUUCUUUAUAAGCUAAAGCAUCUUUUUUAAAGGUUGCGACCUCAUAUUAGAAGAUAUUUUGCUCACCAAGGAAAACUAAUAGAUUCUUAACUUGAGUUAAAGAUAUCGCAAAAAGAGAUAAAGGAGACAGUUGAAGCCUCAUCAGAGUUUGCAAAUACAAGAAGAUCAGUGAUGACUACUAUCGAUGACCUAUCACCUGAAGUUCGGGCUGAAAUAGAUAAGAUCUUUGAUCCUGAUUAUUUUGAUAAGAUGACAAAAGAAGAAUGGGACAAGAUAAAGGCAAUGGAGCAAAUGAUGGCUUAUUGUAAGAAUCCUAAACAUUCACGAUGUGUUCUGAAAAAAAAAAAUAAAAACUGAAGUGGAACCGAAAGACCGUAAAUACUGUUAGAUUUUAAGUUACCGUGUUGUGUGAAAAGUGUAUGUACUUCUGUUUUAAUUAACAAUAUGAAUUUAAAAAAAUGUUUCUCUGUUAGCGAAGUUAAAAUACCACUAUUGUAAAUUCUUUAACUAUGUCUGCUUUAUUCACGUUGUCUUAGUUAAGCAUGAUGCAGCACAGUAUCUGGUUAACUACGUUUUAUUUUUAUGAGAACAUCGAAUAUGUACUUCUAAUUGGAUUGUAAUUGAAUCUCGGAACUUCUCGGAUAUAUAGAUUUUAUACAAAUAAAUAGAAUACAUUUAUACACUAUUUAGUAUA